UGGGUGGAUCAGAGUUACGUAAUGCAGUC
rnacentral:piRNA from 1 species